rnacentral:snoRNA from 1 species
UGGCAGUGAUGACUAUCUUAGGACACCUUUGGAAUAACCAUGAAACAAACAAGAUUCUGAGCCAC